AAAUGAAGUAUUUUUAUUUUCUCAGGGAACUAAAGGUUAUCUUCUAAAUUCAAAUUUUUUUUUUUUUUUUUAAAGAUGAAGUGUUGCUCUGUCACCCAGGCUGCAGGGAAGUGGUGUGAUCUUGGCUCACUGCAACCUCCGCCUCCCAGGUUCAAACAAUUCUCCUGUCUCAGCCUCCCGACUAGCUGGGACUACAGGCGCGGGCCAGCACACCUGGCUAAUUUUUGUAUUUUUAGUAGAGAAGGGGUUUCACCAUGUUGGCCAGCCUGGUCUCGAACUUCUGGUCUCAAGUGAUCCACCUGCCUUGGUCUCCCAAAGUGCUGGGAUUACAGGCAUGAGCCACUGCACCCAGCCUCAAAUUUCUUAUAUUGAGCUUCAACUAUGCAAGAUCCCAUGAGAGGAAUGAUAUACCAAGAUGAACAACAAUAUGGUCUCUGCCUUCAAGGGGUAUAAAAUCUAACCCAUACAAAUGGGCUCCCAAGCAUUUUUUGAGUGGUUAUUAUGAGCUAAACAAACACUAGGACUAGGGAUCCAAUUAUUGAACAAGAUACAGGGGCCAUCAAAAAGUUCCUUUUCUUUUGAGAAAUACAAAUAUAUUAAUUUCAAUAUAUUACAUAAGGUUUAUGAUAAGACCUUUAUCAUGUUCUAAAAAUUAUAACCAAGAAUCUAGCAACAGUUUCUGAACAAAGAGUACCUCUGAGCCAUGGCUUGGAUUAAAGUUCAGAGUAUUUUUCAGACAAAGCAGUAGGCAUUGCAGGGAGAUGGAACAGAGCAUGCAAAAGCAUGAGGGCAUGAAAUGAGCAUGAGGUCUUUGGGGAUCAACAACUAGUUAAAUAUGGCUGGAGGGUGGGUACUUGGGGCAGUAAGAGAGACAGAGCUCGGAACUGCAGCUUAACUUGGGCUAGUAGAUAAAGAGCUUCCAUCCUAUCCUGAAGAGUUUGAACUGUAUCCUGAAGGCAAUGGGGAGCCAGGAGGAGACUUUGGAGAUAAAUGAUAUGAUCAUCAGGUGCUUAUCUUAGAUAAGUCUAGUGGUGGAGUGGCAGGAGAUUUGGAGGGAGAUGAGCCAGCAAGACUUGGUUAAUAGUUUGUAAUAGUGCUGGUGAGAGAUGCUGAGCACCUAAACCAAGAUGGGAAGUAGAGACAGAGAAAGGGUGGAUGCAAGAGACAGUGUGUAGAUUGCAAAAACAGGGCAUGGUCACUGAAUGAAUGCUCGAAAGUGACAGAGAGGGGUCAUCAUAGAUGAUGUAUUAUAUUAGGAUUCUCCAGAGAAACAGAACCAAUAGGGUGAGAGUGUGCGUGUGUGUGUGUGUGUGUGUGUGUGUGUGUGUGUGUGUGUGGAUUGAGAGAGAGAGACAGAGAGAAAGAGGCUCUCUAUUAUAAGGAAACUCCAUUGUGGGUGUGCUUGAGUCCAAAACCUGCAAAGUAGCUAACAGGCGAGAAAUUCUAUCAGAAGUUCAUCUUGCAGUCUUGAGUUCAAAGGCAGUCUGGAGACAGAAUUCCUUUUUCUUCAGUGGAGUUUCAGUGUUUUCUCUUAACAUCCUCAAUUGAUUGGCUGAGGCCCACAUAUCUUACGGAGGGUAAUCUGCUUUCCUCAAAGCUCACCAGUUUGAAUGUUAAUCAUACCUAAAAAAUACCUUCACAGCAACAUCCAGACAACUAGGGACCAUAGCCUAGCUAAGGUGAUACGUAAAAUUAACCGUCACCUUUAAGACAUUGGUUAUAUUUGGGUGCCAUUAAUAAUAUAUGGAAUAGAGGAGAAAAGAUAACUUUAAGGGAGAAAAAGAACAUCAGUUUCAAUGUUGAAUUUCAGCUGGCGAUGUCCAGUGGUCACUUGGGACAGACACUUGGUAGACUGAUUUUUCUAAUGAGCUCAAUUUAGACAUCUUAGUGGACGUGGUGUUGUUGGGUUCGUUAAUGCAUUUGCCACCAAUUAUCAGAUGCUGGAUGGCUUCACUCACACUUCUGGCAGUUGGCUGGGGCUGCUAGCUAAUGUGCCUCAGUUGCCCCCAUGUAGCCUCUCCCAGCUCAGCCUUCCUCACUUGGCAGCUGGGGUUCCCUGAGGGCAAGCCUGAUGUGUACGCAUGUAUCAGGCCUCUGCUUGGGCCACAUUUUCUAAUGAUCCAAUAGCCAAAGCAAAUCAUAUGGCUAAGCCUAGAGUUGAUGUUGAAGGGGGCAACACAGGAGCCUAGGAUUCAUUAAGAUCCAUUAACAUAACAGUGGAACACAUGUUGGCUGGGUGUGGUGGCUGAGGCCUGUAAUCCCAGCACUUUCCCAGGCUGAGAAGGGAGGAUCACAAGGUGAGGAGAUCCAGACCAUCCUGGCUAACAUAGUGAAACCUUGUCUCUACUAAAAAUACAAAAAAAUUAGCCGGGCGUGGUGGCAGGUGCCUGUAGUCCCAGCUACUCAGGAGGCUGAGGUAGUAGAAUGGCGUGAACCUGGGAGGCGGAGCUUGCAGUGGGCCGAGAUGGCACCACUGCACUCCAGCCUGGGUGACAGAGCGAGACUCCAUCUCAAUAAAAAAAAAAAAAAAAAAAAAAACAAAGCAUGGAACACAUGUUAAACAGAGUCUAGAAUUCGUUAAGAUCCAUUAACAUAAAAUGGAACACAUGUUAAAUGCAAUGAAGAAAAAGAAUAGAGUAAAAAGACAGAUAAUUACAUUGGAAGAGAAGGCGGUAGUAGGCAGGGUGGUCAGGGAAGUGACUUUAAGUUUUAGGGUACAUGUGUACAACACGCAGGUUAGUUACAUAUGUAUACAUGUGCCAUGUUGGUGUGCUGCACCCAUUAACUCGUCAUUUAACAUUAGGUAUCUCUUAAUGCUAUCCCUCCCCCCUCCCCCCACCCUACAAUAGGCCGAGGUGUGUGAUGUUCCCCUUCCUGUGUCCAUGUGUUCUCAUUGUUCAAUUCUCACCUGUGAGUGACAACAUGUGGUGUUUGGUUUUUUGUCCUUGUGAUAGUUUGCUGAGAAUGAUGGUUUCCAGCUUCAUCCAUGUUCCUACAAAGGAUAUGAAUUCAUCCUUUUUUAUGGCUGUAUAGCAUUCCAUGGUGUAUAUGUGCCACAUUUUCUUAAUCCAGUCUAUCAUUGUUGGACAUUUGGGUUGGUUCCAAGUCUUUGCUAUUGUGAAUAGUGCUGCAAUAAACAUACAUGUGCAUGUGUCUUUAUAGCAGCAUGUCUUAUAAUCCUUUGGGUAUAUGCCCAGUAAUGGGAUUGCUGGGUCAAAUGGUAUUUCUAGUUCUAGAUCCCUGAGGAGUUGCCACACUGACUUCCACAAUGGUUGAACUAGUUUACAGUCCCACCAACAGUGUAAAAGUGUUCCUAUUUCUCCACAUCCUCUCCAGCACCUGUUGUUUCCUGACUUUUUAAUGAUUGCCAUUCUAACUGGUGUGAGAUGGUAUCUCAUUGUGGUUUUGAUUUGCAUUUCUGUGAUGACCAGUGAUGAGCAUUUUUUCAUGUGUCUUUUGGCUGCAUAAAUGUCUUCUUUUGAGAAGUGUCUGUUCAUAUCCUUUGCUGAUUUGUUGAUGGGGUUGUUUUUUUCUUGUAAAUUUGUUUGAGUUCAUUGUAGAUUCUGGAUAUUAGCCCUUUGUCAGAUGAGUAGAUUGCAAAAAUUUUCUCCCAUUCUGUAGGUUGCCUGUUCACUGUGAUGGUAGUUUCUUUUGCUGUGCAGAAGUUCUUUAGUUUAAUUAGACCCCAUUUGUCAAUUUUGUCUUUUGUUGCCAUUGCUUUUGGUGUUUUAGACAUGAAGUCCUUGCCCAUACCUAUGUCCUGAAUGGUAUUGCCUAGGUUUUCUUCUAGGGUUUUUAUGGUUUUAGGUCUAACAUUUAAGUCUUUAGUCCAUCUUGAAUUUUUGUAUAAGGUGUAAGGAAGGGAUCCAGUUUCAGCUUUCUACAUAUGGCUAGCCAGUUUUCCCAGCACCAUUUAUUAAAUAGGGAAUCCUUUCCCCAUUUCUUGUUUUUGUCAGGUUUGUCAAAGAUCAGAUGGUUGUAGAUAUGUGGCAUUAUUUCUGAGGCCUCUGUUCUGUUCCAUUGGUCUGUAUCUCUGUUUUGGUACCAGUACCAUGCUGUUUUGGUUACUGUAGCCUUGUAGUAUAGUUUGAAGUCAGGUAGUGUGAUGCCUCCAGCUUUGUUCUUUUGGCUUAGGAUUGACUUGGCAAUGUGGGCUCUUUUUGGUUCCAUAUGAACUUUAAAGUAGUUUUUUCCAAUUCUGUGAAGAAAGUCAUUGGUAGCUUGAUGGGGAUGGCAUUGAAUCUAUAAAUUACCUUGGGCAGUAUGGCCAUUUUCAUGAUAUUGAUUCUUCCUACCCAUGAGCAUGGAAUGUUCUUUGAGCAGUGGUUUGUAGUUCUCCUUGAAGAGGUCCUUCACGUCCCUUGUAAGUUGGAUUUGUAGGUAUUUUAUUCCCUUUGGAGCAAUUGUGAAUGGGAGUUCACUCAUGAUUUGGCUCUGUUUGUCUGUUAUUGGUGUAUAAGAAUGCUUGUGAUUUUUGUAUGUUGAUUUUGUAUCCUGAGACUUUGCUGAAGUUGCCUAUCAGCUUAAGGAGAUUUUGGGCUGAGACGAUGGGGUUUUCUAGAUAUACAAUCAUGUCAUCUGCAAACAGGGACAAUUUGAUUUCCUCUUUUCCUAGUUGAAUACCCUUUAUUUCCUUCUCCUGCCUGAUUGCCCUGGCCAGAACUUCCAACACUAUGUUGAAUAGGAGUGGUGAGAGAGGGCAUCCCUGUCUUGUGCCAGUUUUCAAAGGAAAUGCUUCCAGUUUUUGCCCAUUCAGUAGGAUAUUGGCUGUGGUUUGUCAUAGAUAGCUCUUAUUAUUUUGAGAUACGUCCCAUCAAUACCUAAUUUAUUGAGAGUUGUUAGCAUGAAGGGUUGUUGAAUUUUGUCAAAGGCCUUUUCUGCAUCUAUUGAGAUAAUCAUAUGGUUUUUGUCGUUGGUUCUAUUUAUAUGCUGGAUUACGUUUAUUGAUUUGCUUAUGUUGAACCAGCCUUGCAUCCCAGGGAUGAAGUCCACUUGAUUGUGAUGGAUAAGCUUUUUGAUGUGCUACUGGAUUUGGUUUGCCAGUAUUUUAUUGAGGAUUUUUGCAUUGAUGUUCUUCAGGGAUAUUGGUCUAAAAUUCUCUUUUUUGGUUGUGUCUCUGCCAGGCUUUGGUAUCAGGAUGAUGCUGGCCUCGUAAAACAAGUUAGGUAGGGUUCCCACUUUUUCUAUUGAUUGGAAUAGUUUCAGAAGGAAUGGUACCAGCUCCUCCUUGUACCUCUGGUAGAAUUCGGCUGUGAAUCCAUCUGGUCCUGGACUUUUUUUGGUUGGUAAGCUAUUAAUUAUUGCUUCAAUUUCAGAGUCUGUUAUUGGUCUAUUCAGAGAUUCAACUUCUUCCUGGUUUAGUCUUGGGAGAGUGUAUGUGUCGAGGAAUUUAUCCAUUUCUUCUAGAUUUUCUACUUUAUUUGCAUAGAGGUGUUUAUAGUAUUCUCUGAUGGUAGUUUGUAUUUCUGUGGAAUCAGUGGUGAUAUCCCCUUUAUCAUUUUUUAUUGCGUCUAUUUGAUUCUUCUCUCUUUUCUUCUUUAUUAGUCUUGCUAGUGGUCUAUCAAUUUUGUUGAUUUUUUCAAAAAACCAGCUCCUGGAUUCAUUGAUUUUUUUUUUUUUUUGAAGGGUUUUUUGUGUCUCUAUUUCCUUCAGUUCUUCUCUGAUCUUAGUUAUUUCUUGCCUUCUGCUAGCUUUUGAAUGUGUUUGCUCUUGCUUUUCUAGUUCUUUUAAUUGUGAUGUUAGGGUGUCCAUUUUAGAUCUUUCCUGCUUUCUCUUGUGGGCAUUUAGUGCUAUAAAUUUCCCUCUACACACUGCUUUGAAUGUGUCCCAGAGAUUCUGGUAUGUUGUGUCUGUGUUCUCAUUGGUUUCAAAGAACAUCUUUAUUUCUGCCUUCAUUUCAUUAUGUACCCAGUAGUCAUUCAGGAGCAGGUUGUUCAGUUUCCAAGUAGUUGAGUGGUUUUGAGUGAGAUUCUUAAUCCUGAGUUCUAGUUUGAUUGCACUGUGGUCUUGAGAGUCAGUUUGUUAUAAUUUCUGUUCUUUUACAUUUGCUGAGGAGUGCUUUCCUUCCAACUACGUGGUCAAUUUUGGAAUAAGUGUGGUGUGGUGCUGAGAAGAAUAUAUAUCUAUUGAUUUGGGGUGGAGAGUUCCGUAGAUGUCUAUUAGGUCCGCUUGGUGCAGAGCUGAGUUCAAUUCCUGGAUAUCCUUGUUAACUUUCUGUCUCAUUGAUCUGUCUAAUGUUGACAGUGGGGUGUUAAAGUCUCCCAUUAUUAUUGUGUGGGAGUCUAAGUCUCUUUCUAGGUCUCUAAGGACUUGCUUUAUGAAUCUGGGUGCCCCCGUAUUGGGUGCAUAUAUAUUUAGGAUAGUUAGCUCUUCUUGUUGAAUUGAUCCCUUGACCAUUAUAUAAUGGCCUUCUUUGUCUCUUUUGAUCUUUGUUGGUUUAAAGUAUGUUUUAUCAGAGACUAGGAUUGCAACCCCUGCCUUUUUUUUGUUUUCCAUUUGCUUGGUAGAUCUUCCUCCAUCCCUUUAUUUUGAGCCUGUGUGUGUUUCUGCACGUGAGAUGGGUUUCCUGAAUACAGCACACUGAUGGGUCUUGACUCUUUAUCCAAUUUGCCAGUCUGUGUCUUUUAAUUGGAGCAUUUAGCCCAUUUACAUUUAAGGUUAAUAUUGUUAUGUGUGAAUUUGUUCCUGUCAUUAUGAUGUUAGCUGGUUAUUUUGCUCAUUAGUUGAUGCAGUUUCUUCCCAGCCUUGAUGGUCUUUACAAUUUGGCAUGUUUUUGCUGUGGCUGGUACUGGUUGUUCCUUUCCAUGUUUAGUGCUUCCUUCAGGAGCUCUUUUAGGGCAGGCCUGGUGGUGACAAAAUCUCUCAGCAUUUGCUUGUCUGUAAAGUAUUUUAUUUCUCCUUCACUUAUGAAGCUCAGUUUGGCUGGAUAUGAAAUUCUGGGUUGAAAAUUCUUUAAGAAUAUUGAAUAUUGGUCCCCACUCUCUUCUGGCUUGUAGAGUUUCUGCAGAGAGAUCAGCUGUUAGUCUGAUGGUCUUCCCUUUGUGGGUAACCCGACCUUUCUCUCUGGCUGCCCUUAACAUUUUUUCCUUCAUUUCAACUUUGGUGAAUCUGAUAAUUAUGUGUCUUGGAGUUGCUCUUCUCGACGAGUAUCUUUGUGGUGUUCUCUGUAUUUCCUGAAUUUGAAUGUUGGCCUACCUUGCUAGAUUGGGGAAGUUCUCCUAGAUAAUAUCCUGCAGAGUGUUUUCCAACUUGGUUCCAUUCUCCCAGUCACUUUCAGGUACACCAAUCAGACGUAGAUUUAGUCUUUUCACAUAGUCCCAUAUUUCUUGGAGGCUUUGUUCAUUUCUUUUUAUUCUUUAAACUUCUCUUCUCGCUUCAUUUCAUUCAUUUGAUCUUCCAUCACUGAUACCCUUUCUUCCAGUUGAUCACAUCGGCUACUGAGGCUUGUGCGUUUGUCACAUAGUUUUCUUGCCUUGGUUUUCAGCUCCAUCAGGUCCUUUAAGGACUUCCCUGCAUUGGUUAUUCUAGUUAGCCAUUUGUCUAAUUUUUUUCCAGGUUUUUCAAUUAUUUGCCGUGGGUUCGAACUUCUUCCUUUAGCUCAGAGUAGUUUGAUCGUCUGAAGCCUUCUUCUCUCAACUUGUCAAAGUCAUUCGCCAUCCAGCUUUGUUCCAUUGCUGGUGAGGAGCUGUGUUCCUUUGGAGGAGGAGAGGUGCUCUGAUUUUUAGAGUUUCCAGUUUUUCUGCUCUGCUUUUUCCCCCCAUCUUUGUGGUUUUAUCUACCUUUGGUCUUUGAUGAUGGUGAUGUACAGAUGGGGUUUUGGUGUGGAUGUCCUUUCUGUUUGUUAGUUUUCCUUCUAACAGUCAGGACCCUCAGCUGCAGGUCUGUUGGAGUUUGCUGGAGGUCCACUCCAGACCCUGUUUGCCUGGGUAUCGGCAGCAGAGGCUGCAGAACAGCGGAUAUUGGUGAACAGCAAAUGUUGCUGCCUUAUUGUUCCUCUGGAAGUUUUGUCUCAGAGGAGUACCCGGCUGUGUGAGGUGUCAGUCUGCCCCUACUGGGGUGUGCCUCCCAGUUAGGCUACUCGGGGAUCAGGGACCCACUUGAGGAGGCAGUCUGCCCGUUCUCAGAUCUCCAGCUGUGUGCUGGGAGAACCACUGUUCUCUUCAAAACUGUCAGACAGGGACAUUUAAGUCUGCAGAGGAUUCUGCUGCCUUUUGUUUGGCUAUACCCUGCCCCCAGAAGUGGAUCCUACAGAGGCAGGCAGGCCUCCUUGAGCUAUGGUGGGCUCCACCCAGUUCGAGCUUCAUGGCCACUUUGUUUACCUACUCAAGCCUGGGCAAUGGCGGGCGCCCCUCCGCCAGUCUCGCUGCCACCUUGCAGUUUGAUCUCAGACUGCUGUGCUAGCAAUGAGCAAGGCUCUGUGGGCGUAGGACCCUCCGAGCCAUGCGCAGGAUAUAAUCUCCUGGUGUGCCGUUUGCUAAGACUGUUGGAAAAGCGCUGUAUUAGGGUGGGAGUGACCUGAUUUUCCAGGUGCUGUCACCCCUUUCUUUGACUAGGAAAGGGAAUUCCCUGACCCCUUGAGCUUUCCGGGUGAGGCGAUGUCUUGCCCUGCUUCGGCUCACAUGCGGUGUGCUGCACCCACUGUCCUGCACCCACUUUCUGACACUCCCCAGUGAGAUGAACCCAGUAACUCAGUUGGAAAUGCAGAAAUCACCCGUCUUCUGCGUUGCUCGCACUGGGAGCUGUAGACUGGAGGUGUUCCUAUUUGGCCACCUUGGCUCCACCCUCAGGGAAGUGACUUUUAAGCAGACACUUAAAUGAAGUAAGGCAGCCAGUAAUGUGAAAUUCUGCAGGCAAGCCAAUGCUAGACAGUGAACAGCAGGGGUGAGGAUUGUGAAGCCAGAACCAGCUUGAAAUGCUCAAGAAACAAGAAGAGCAGAGGACACCAGGGCUGGGGAUGGAAAAGCGAUGGGGAUGAGGUUGGAGAGGUGGCAGAGUGGACCACAGUGCAGGACUUCGCAGACCAUGGAAGGAGACUCAAUUUUAUUCUAAAUAGUGAUGAGAAACCAAUGAAAGAUUUUGUGCAAGAAGAUACUUGAUCCAAUUUUCAUCUUUAUUUAUCUUUUUGAGGCAGUCUGACUCUGUCACCAAGCUAGUGUGCAGUGCUGCAAUCUCGGUUCACUGCAACCUCUGCCUCCCGGGUUCAAGCGAUUCUCCUGCCUCAGUCUGCCAAGUAGCUGGGAUUACAGGGGCAUGCCACCACACCUGGCUAAUUUUUUGCAUUUUUAACAGAGAAGGGGUUUCACCGUGUUUGCCAGGCUGGUCUUGAACUCCUGACUUCAAGUGAUCCACCUUCCUGAACCUCCCAGAGUGCUGGGAUUACAGGCAUGAGCCAGCACGCCUGGCCAAUUUUCAUCUUUAAAAGAUGGUUCUGAUUACCGAUGACGCAACAUGCAUGGAGGCUGGGAGAUCUGGUAGGGGCUACUGUAGUAGUCACAGAAAGAGAGAAUGGUAGUGGUGGAGGUGCUAAGAAAUGGUUGAAUUUGGAAGACCAGGGGAGGUAGAAACAGUACAUGUUCAUGGACUAGAUGUGGAAUGUCAGGGACACAGAGGAGUCAAGAAUGAUGCCUGACAACUGAGCAAGAUAGGAAAUAAGGGGGAGAGAAAAUCAGGCAUUCUUUUCUGGACGUGCUAUAUUUCACCUGCCUAAUACACAUGCAAGUGGAGAAACCAAGUAGAAGAUCAAAUAGGAAGACCUUAAGCUCAAGGGAGAGAAAGUCAGCAUCUACAUGGCAUGAAGGCCAUGAGAAUAUGUAGGAUAAAUUGGAAGAUGUUGUAGAAGAUGCAAAUGUUCUCUGCUAACCAUUGGAUUUUCACAGUGCAAUAAGUGACAAAUAGAAGGAAUGGCUGCAGGGAGCUUAGAGAGGAGUUUUGAGAAAGUGGUCUUGGGUCAGGAAACAAGAGACUGAAUUCAUUAGGGAAGGGUGGCAGGAUGGAUGUGAAGGGGCUGCCAGCUUCUGAAGACUGUGAUAAAGUGAGAGCUAUCGUGGUUAUGUUUCUCCAGCAAUAUUCAGCUGCUCAAAUACAGGGCAUUAGUCAGGGGUCCUCAGAGAAACAGAUCCAAUAAGAUAUAUAUAACCAGAAAGAAACGGAUUAUAAGGCAUUGGCUCAUGUGAUUAUGGAGGUUGAUUAUGGAUACUUCAUUAAGUCCCACAAGCUUCUGUCUGCAAGCUGGAGACCCAAGAAAGCUUGUGAUAUAAUUCCAAGGCCUGAAAGCCAGAGAGCCAAUGGUGUAGAUUCCAUUCUGGGUCAGAAGGCCUGAGAACCAGGUGCUCCAAGGACAGGAGAAGAUCAAUAAGGCAGCUCCAGUAAUCAGCAGAGAGUGGACUCAACCUCCCUUUGCUAAUAGAUUGGGUAAUGCCCACCCACAAGGGCUUUACUCAGUUCACCAAUUCAAAUGCUAAUCUCUUCUGGAUACACCCUCAGAGACCACACAGAAAUAAUGUCUGAGCAGUUAUCUGGGCAUCCCAUGGCUCAGUCAUGUUGACACAUAAAAUUAACCAUCAAAUAUAGACUUAGAGAGUUGGAUUUAGCUGUGGGUGGGAUUUUUGAAGACAAAUGUAGGGAGGGGAGGGAUGAGGAGGGAGCUGAGGGUAUAUACAAAUGAAAUUAUACUUAUGGAUGAGAGAUUCUAGACUGUGGAAGGAGGGAGCAGUGGACAUUGAAGAAAGUGGCCUCACUGGUUUGGAAGUCAUCAUGGGCUAGCAUUGUUGGAGAAGUGUCACUAGAGGGACUGUGCUGAGAAAAAGUGGAAAUGAGGCUGGGCGCGGUGGCUCACGCCUGUAAUCCCAGCAUUUUGGGAGGCCAAGGCAGGCAGAUCACGAGGUCGGGAGAUCGAGACCAUCCUGGCUAACACAGUGAAACCCCGUCUCUACUAAAAAUACAAAAAAUUAACCAGGCAUGGUGGCAGGCACCUGUAGUCCCAGCUACUCAGGAGGCUGAGGCAGAAGAAUGGCGUGAACCUGGAAGGCAGAGCUUGCAGUGAACCGAGAUUGAGCCACUGCAUUCCAGCCUGGGCGACAGAGUGAGACUGUCUCGAAAAAAAAGAAGAAAAGAAAAAGAAAAAGUGAAAUGAAAUAGUUUGGGAGCAGCAGGCCAGAGUUUGGUGGGGAAGAUUACUAGGAGUAAGGAGGUCAAAGGACCAAGAAGCCAGGGCCGCUGGAUGGACUGUCUGUGAGAGGGAAGUCUCCAGAACAGUUGGGCAGAGAAAGACAGCCAAAUACUUGUAUGAGGAAGGGGUAAGGAUGGUCUGUUCCAAUAGCACUGCUUCAAACAAUGUGAGGGUUUUCAGAAAAGAAGGAAGAGCAAGGGUCUGGAGGGGCUAAAAGAAUAAUCACCUCACCCCAGGCCCAGUGGCACAGAGCUGGGAUGCAAACAACCCUCACUUGAGAAGGUUGCUGGGAAUACACAGGUUUUCAGUUAGGGGUAGAAGGUCAGAGGAACUUAAGGGGUGGUGGUGAUGGUUUUGCAGGUGACAGAUCAUUCGCUGCAGAGGGCACAGGCGAAUGAGGAGAGAAGAGGAUGCCUGCUGACUGUGAUGAAAGGGAGGAUAAUCUUUCCUGACCCUUUUCAAGCACAAAUGGAAUCAGCAAAGCUCACACGAACAGUUAUGAGUUACUCACAUGAAGCCAAGUUUUGCUUCCUACCAGAUUCUUGCCAUGUUUUGAAUUACUGAGUUCGCCAAAUAAGAACCAUGUGAAAAUUAGUUAUUAUAGGUGAUAUCAUUUAUUACACUUUAAUUAUGUAACGUCUUUGAAGAAAUAAACAUAUCCUACAGGUUUCAUCUAUCUUCAGACAUCAAAGUUAUACAUUCUAAUUAAAGUUCAUUAGAAAUUAUUUUUAAAAAAUGGGAUUCCAAGCAAGAAUGUAUGUUAAUUCACAUGUAACAUCCACUCAGGCCAAGGUAUUCUGACCUAGCAAUGAUAUCACACCUGACACAGCAGUUGCAAUGGCGACUGCUGCUUAAUUGAGUUUGCCAUGGACCAUUGUCAUCCUCCAGGAUCUGUCUGGUUUUUGCAGGGCCCACGCUUGUGAAUUAAAUGGCAACAUGAUGGGGUCCAUCACCCUGCAUCUUCUGGUCCUUUAGGGAUGACACUAAUUUCUGCCAUUCAUUUUGGAAUGCUGUAUCGCUUUGGACGCACUGUCUAUGGUUAUAGAGGGGGGUUCAUUUCAGAGGAUUCCCCUUGGUCCUUUCUACGAUGAUAGUCUUACCCUAAGCCUAGGAACCAACAAAUGAAGCAUGUCUAUUUCCAUUAUACAUUUGGGGUCCAGAGACGUGACCACUUGGAUGAGUCUGCAGACCCAGUGGACACACCAUAAAUAGGCAGGAUCUGGGCCAGUCUCCAUGUUUUAGCUACUCCAAUAUUCUCCGCUCUAACAGGGGCCCAAGAUGCCCGUUUGUGUCUCUAGGUAUUAAUGUCUACUAAGACCUCGUGCAACAGUCACUCAAAUGUUUGGGUAAUCCUUGGUAUUCAGUGACCCAAGUAUAUCCCUUUGGUAAAAGCCUGGGAGACCCAGGACCUCACCCUCUUGCUGUGUGGUUUUGCAAGGCUCUGCCUCCUAGGGACACAGUCUUUUCUUUAGUCAAUGCACCUGGGGCCAAACAGUGGCUCAACCCCAGAAACUGGACAAGGGAUUGUGACUUUUUAUUGGUGACUUUCAGGUUCCUGAUCACGCAUCCUUGAUUUCUCUUGGUUAUACAGAUUGAACAAUCUCUUGCUGGCUGCCCAUCUGUUUUGUUCCUAGGGAUGCAGUAACUCAAUAGAAUUUUGAGUUAACUCCCUUGAGUGUUAUUUUUGGCCAGGGGAAGAAUUUUCUGAAUUUGGAGAAGAGAGUAUUUGUGAAUAUUUCUUGGCCAGAGAGGCAGACUGUGACAGUGACAGCUAACUGUCCACCAAAGCAUCAUUCUCUCCUUAUGUACAAUACAGUUGCUAUGGAAAGGGCAGUUGUCCAGCUUGAAGCUGCAUUUCCCAGCAGCCGCUGCAUCCAUUUCUCAGCAUCCCUUGCAUCUCUGCCCAGCUCCACCCAGGGAGACCUUGGAAGCUAAAUGUAGAAGGCAGAUCCCCUGUCAAUCUGGGCCCCUGAAGAGCCGCAGGGAGUAACUACCACUCUCCCAACAUGAUGUCGAUAUUGGACUGUCACAGAAGCAAAAAAUCAUCUUUCAUUAUAUUAAGUGGUUGAAACAUAGGAAUUUGUUGGCUAAAGCAACUAGUUACCCUAAUACAUACUCUAUAAAUUCUAUAUCAAAUAUAAAAAUUGUUUGUCUGAAUAGAUUUUUACCAAUUUUUUUUUCUUUUUUUGAGACGGAAUCUUGCUUUGUUGCCAGGCUGGAAUGCAGUGGCACGAUCUCAGCUCACUGCAACCUCCGACUCCCUGGUUCAAGCGAUUCUCCUGCCUCAGCCUCCCAAAUAGCUGGGAUUACAGGCAUGCACCACCAUGCCCGGCUAAUUUUUGUAUUUUUUAGUAGAGACGGGGUUUCACCAUGUUGGCCAGGAUGGUCUCUAUCUCCUGACACGAUCUGCCCACCUCAGCCUCCCAAAGUGCGGGAAUUACAGGUGUGAGCCACUGCACUUGGCAAUUUUUACCAAAUUUUAAAGGUGUGUUUGUGAUGGUCUGACAUAAGAGUAGAGAUGAUAUGACAUUAAAUUCACUCCGAGGGGCCCAGGGGAUGUCUCAUGAGGCUCAGUAUUUAUUCCUUACAACAGCUGAAAAUGAUGUUCAGCCAGCCCUCUGUACCUGUGGGUUCCACAUCCGUAGAUUCAACCAGGCAAGGACUGAAAAUACUUGAAAAAAUGUUGCGUCUAUAUUGAACAUGUACAGACUUUUUUCCUUGUUAUUGUUCCCUAAACCAUGUGGUACAACAACUAUUUACAUAGCAUUUACACUGUACUAGGUAUUACAAGUAACCUAGAGUAUAUACAGGAGGAUGUGCCAUUGCAUAUCAGGGACUUGAGCAUCCUUGGAUUUUGGUAUCCAUGGGGGGGGUCCUGCAGCCAAUCACCCAUGGAUACCAAGGGAUGACUGUAUCAUAAAAGGCAGUGAUAAUACAGUCAACAUAUACACAUUUUCUCUGUCCACACCUUGUUAAUAUAAGUGAUUGUUUUCUAUAUGGGUCCCUGGAUGCUGCCUCUCUUACCUACCUCUUCAGGUUCCUUGGCCUCAUCUGUCCCCCAAGCUCUUGGAAGCUUGGUCCACUCAGCACCAAGACAGUUGACUGACUCCACGCAGGCCUUCGAUUUUCCACCCCUGAAGACUAACCAGCUGUGUACCUGGAGUCUCAAGAUCCUCCUGCCAGAGAUUUCGAUGAAAUGCUACCUUCAGGGCAUGUGAAUUCGUUUCCUGUUGCUGCUGUCACAAGUUACCGCAAAUGUGGUGGUUUAAAGCAACAGAAGUUAGUUUGCUCACAUUUCUGGAGGUCAUUGUAUGAAAUGAGCUUCAUGCUUCUAAAAUCAAGAUGCCAGCAGGGUGGAUUUCUCCUCCUGUCCUCUCCAGGCUUGCGGAGGUUGCUGGCAUUCUCCCCGCCGCCCGUGGACCCUUUCUUGCCUCACUCUUACUCUUGCUUCUGUUGUCACAUCUCCCACCCCUGCCUCUGAUUUUCUGCCUCCCCCUUCAAAGACCCCUUGGGAUUACUUGGAUAACCUAGAAUAAUCGCUCCAUCUCAAAACUCUUUUUUUUUGAGAUGAAGUCUUACUCUGUCACCCAGGCUGGAGUGCAGUGGCGCAAUCUUAGUUCACUGCAACCCCCACCUCCUGGGUUCAAGCGAUUCUCCUACCUGAGCCAAGUAGCUGGGGCUACAGGUGCCUGCCACCACAUCUGGCUAAUUUUUGUAUUUUUAGUAGAGACGGGGUUUCACUAUGUUGGCCAGGCUGGUCUUGAACUCCUGACCUCGUGAUCCACCUGCCUUUGCCUCCCAAAGUGCUGGCAUUACAGGGGUGAGCCACCCCACCUGGCCUUAAGACUCUUAAUCUUAAUCACAUCUGCUGAGUCCCUUUUGCCAUAGAUAACAUUCACAGAUUCUGGGGAUUAGGAUGUGGUUAUCUGUGUUGGGCCAUUAUUCAGCCCAUGUCGGGGUAGGAUAUAACUUUUUUUUUAAAUUUUAUUAUUAUUAUACUUCAAGUUUUAGGGUAUAUGUGCACAACAUGCAGGUUUGUUACAUAUGUAUACAUGUGCCAUGUUGGUGUGCUGCACCCAUUAACUCGUCAUUUAGCAUUAGGUAUAUCUCCUAAUGCUAUCCCUCCCCCCUCCCCCCACCCCCCAACAGGCCCCAGUGUGUGAUGUUCCCCUUCCUGUGUCCAUGUGUUCUCAUUGUUCAAUUCCCACCUAUGAGUGAGAACAUGCAGUGUUUGAUUUUCUGUCCUUGCGAUAGUUUGCUGAGAAUGAUGGUUUCCAGCUUCAUCCAUGUCCCUACAAAGGACAUGGACUCAUCUUUUUUUUCUGGCUGCAUAGUAUUCCAUGGUGUAUAUGUGCCACAUUUUCUUAAUCCAGUCUAUCACUGAUGGACAUUUGGGUUGGUUCCAAGUCUUUGUUUAUUGCGGCACUAUUCACAGGAGUAGCCUUAUCUCUGAAGACACAGGAAGGCAGAGGAGAAUCUAAAGAAACAGGCCUUGCUAAAUUCCCUGAGUCUAUUAACAUUAAAUCUACGCACUUUGUCCAAUCAUACUUCUCCACAACUAUCCACCUCUUCAUCCAACCUAAGCAUAAAACAUAGUUUCCCGUGUUUCUUUAGGCCUUUAUUCUAAAGGUUCCCAUGCCAUGUAAAACUUACAUUAAAUACAUUUGUGUGUUUUUCUCGUUUACCUGUCCAUUUCUUCUAGAUUUUCUAGUUUAUUUGCGUAGAGGUGUUUAUAGUAUUCUCUGAUGUUAGUUUGUAUUUCUGUGGAAUCAGUGGUGAUAUCCCCUUUAUCAUUUUUUAUUGCGUCUAUUUGAUUCUUCUCUGUUUUCUUUUUUAUUAGUCUUGCUAGCGGUCUAUCAAUUUUGUUGAUCUUUUCAGAAAACCAGCUCCUGGAUUCAUUAAUUUUUUGAAGGGUUUUUUAUGUCUCUAUUUCCUUCAGUUCUUCUCUGAUCUUAGUUAUUUCUUGCCUUCUGCUAGCUUUUGAAUGUGUUUGCUCUUGCUUCUGUAGCUCUUUUAAUUGUGAUGUUAGAGUGUCAAUUUUAGAUCUUUCCUGCUUUCUCUUGUGGGCAUUUAGUGCUAUAAAUUUCCCUCUACACACUGCUUUGACUGUGUCCCAGAGAUCCUGGUAUGUUGUGCCUGUGUUCUCAUUGGUUUCAAAGAACAUCUUUAUUUCUGCCUUCAUUUCAUUAUGUACCCAGUAGUCAUUCAGGAGCAGGUUGUUCAGUUUCCAAGUAGUUGAGCGGUUUUGAGUGAGAUUCUUAAUCCUGAGUUCUAGUUUGAUUUCACUGUGGUCUGAGAGACAGUUUGUUAUAAUUUCUGUUCUUUUACAUUUGCUGAGGAGUGCUUUACUUCCAACUAUGUGGUCAGUUUUGGAGUAGGUGUGGUGUGGUGCUGAAAAGAAUGUAUAUUCUGUUGAUUUGGGGUGGAGAGUUCUGUAGAUGUCU
rnacentral:lncRNA from 1 species